rnacentral:lncRNA from 1 species
CCUAGUUUCUUUAGCCAAAUUCAUUGUUAUACCAGGAAAUGAGCUGACAGAGUGUCCAUUGAGAGCAGUGCCAACCCUAGCAUCGAAAUGGAAGAGUGGGUGUUCCUGUUAAAGUCAUGGGAGACAAACUAGUGUAGCCAAGAUGCCCUUAAGAGGACCCUCCAAUUCCUGUUUCACCACCUUCUUGAUGUCAUCAUAUUUG